UACGUAGGGCGCAAGCGUUGUCCGGAAUUAUUGGGCGUAAAGAGCUCGUAGGUGGCUUGUCACGUCGGGUGUGAAAGCUUGGGGCUUAACUCCAGGUCUGCAUUCGAUACGGGCUGGCUAGGGGUAGGUAGGGGAGAACGGAAUUCCUGGUGUAGCGGUGAAAUGCGCAGAUAUCAGGAGGAACACCGGUGGCGAAGGCGGUUCUCUGGGCCUUACCUGACGCUGAGGAGCGAAAGCGUGGGGAGCGAACAGG
rnacentral:rRNA from 1 species